ACAGCAUGUGCGUCAUUUCCGUUGUCAGGUGGUGCUGCUAUGGAAAGAUGUGAUCAGUUGUCCUAAGAAGGCUUUUCCCUCAAAACCCCUGUCGGUAAUCGUGAAAUUUCUUCAGUUCGCUUGAAACAAACCGCUUCGUGGUGGAGUGUAAAUGUCGGUGCAGCCCUGGUGAACAUUUAAUCGGCCCGAAAUGAGUGGGAAUUAGUGUACGACAGAGGAUUCCCUCGGCGGUUUUGAUCUGCAGAAUGUCUAAACGUCGUGCUUCGGACCGAGGGGCCGGAGAGACUUCCGGCAGACCCAGCAAGCUCCUUUGUCCUGGGAUAUCUGGCAACAAUGCUAAAAGAGCCGGUCCCUUUGUUUUAGGCCCACGGCUGGGAAACUCUCCUGUGCAGAGUAUAGUGCAGUGUCUAGCCAGAAAAGAUGGGACAGAUGAUUUCUACCAGC